rnacentral:rRNA from 1 species
AUUCAACGCUGGCGGCAGGCCUAACACAUGCAAGUCGAACGAGUGGCGGACGGGUGAGUAAUGUCUGGGAAACUGCCCGAUGGAGGGGGAUAACUCCUGGAAACGGUAGCUAAUACAGCAUACCAUCGGAUGUGCCCAGAUGGGAUUAGCUAGUAGGUGGGGUAAUGGCUCACCUAGGCGACGAUCCCUAGCUGGUCUGAGAGGAGGACAAGCCAAAUUGGAACUGAGACACGGUCCAGAGUCCUACGUGAGGCCGCAGUGGGGCAUAUUGGACAAUGGGCGCAAGCCUGAGGCAGCGAUGCCGAGUGUAUGAAGGAGGCCUUCGGGUUGUAAAGUACUUGCAGCGAUGAGGCGUUACUCGCAGAAGAAGCACCGGCUAACUCCGUGCCAGCAGCCGCGGUAAUUC